AGUGAGCGCUGGCGGUAGGCCUAACACAUGCAAGUCGAACGGCAGCACAGUAAGAGCUUGCUCUUACGGGUGGCGAGUGGCGGACGGGUGAGGAAUACAUCGGAAUCUACUUUUUCGUGGGGGAUAACGUAGGGAAACUUACGCUAAUACCGCAUACGACCUACGGGUGAAAGCAGGGGAUCUUCGGACCUUGCGCGAUUGAAUGAGCCGAUGUCGGAUUAGCUAGUUGGCGGGGUAAAGGCCCACCAAGGCGACGAUCCGUAGCUGGUCUGAGAGGAUGAUCAGCCACACUGGAACUGAGACACGGUCCAGACUCCUACGGGAGGCAGCAGUGGGGAAUAUUGGACAAUGGGCGCAAGCCUGAUCCAGCCAUACCGCGUGGGUGAAGAAGGCCUUCGGGUUGUAAAGCCAUUUUGUUGGGAAAGAAAAGCAGCAGGUUAAUACCCCGCUGUUCUGACGGUACCCAAAGAAUAAGCACCGGCUAACUUCGUG
rnacentral:rRNA from 1 species